GAAUUCAGACAAACUCCGAAUGCCAAUUAAUUUAACUUGGGAGUCAGAACAUGGGUGAUAAGGUCCGUGUUCGAAAGGGAAACAGCCCAGACCACCAGCUAAGGUCCCAAAAUAUAUGUUAAGUGGAAAAGGAUGUGGCGUUGCCCAGACAACUAGGAUGUUGGCUUAGAAGCAGCCAUCAUUUAAAGAGUGCGUAAUAGCUCACUAGUCGAGUGACACUGCGCCGAAAAUGUACCGGGGCUAAACAUAUUACCGAAGCUGUGGAUUGUCCUUUGGACAAUGGUAGGAGAGCGUUCUAAGGGCGUUGAAGCAUGAUCGUAAGGACAUGUGGAGCGCUUAGAAGUGAGAAUGCCGGUGUGAGUAGCGAAAGACGGGUGAGAAUCCCGUCCACCGAUUGACUAAGGUUUCCAGAGGAAGGCUCGUCCGCUCUGGGUUAGUCGGGUCCUAAGCUGAGGCCGACAGGCGUAGGCGAUGGAUAACAGGUUGAUAUUCCUGUACCACCUAUAAUCGUUUUAAUCGAUGGGGGGACGCAGUAGGAUAGGCGAAGCGUGCGAUUGGAUUGCACGUCUAAGCAGUAAGGCUGAGUAUUAGGCAAAUCCGGUACUCGUUAAGGCUGAGC
rnacentral:rRNA from 1 species